UCCCUUUGCCUAACCUCCAAAACUUGAAGUUUUGGUUAAUCGUCAUUUAAAAAGGCAACGUAUUUCCUCAGCCAACCUAGUAGUUUCUCUCAUAUAGGUGAUGAGAAAUCAAGAGCCAACUGAACGGUAGACUGCAAAUAUAUGGAAGAAAAUAAAACUCAUAAAUAAACAGCUAUGGAGUUUUACUAGACUUCUAAAUUAAGGACACAAACAACUCUAAAUUAAUUCCAACACCGACCACCACUCUUAUCGUCGUCGUUCAACCUCAAACCACCAGCUAACAUCGUCUCGUUCACCUAAGCUCUUGGUGGCUGGAGUUGCAACAUUUCUUUACUAGACGGCGACACUUUCAUUUUUCGGCAAAACCAGCAACUGUCAGGCCAAGCCACCACCAUCAAUCGACUCCCUAGCCUUAGAAACGUCAAUCUAGAGCUUGACAACUGCUGCAUCGCUGAAGGAGAAAGGAUUGAAAAAAAGAACGAAAGGAAAAGAAAAAGAACUAAAUAAGUAAAAAAAAAAAUAAAAAAAGAUAAAAAAUAAAAACAAAAUAGAGAUGCAGUAUAAAUGUAAAGAAAAAGA
rnacentral:lncRNA from 1 species